rnacentral:rRNA from 1 species
CUGAGCGGCGAACGGGUGAGUAACGCGUGAGUAACCUGCCCUGGAGUGGGGGACAACAGUUGGAAACGACUGCUAAUACCGCAUAAGCCCACGGCCCGGCAUCGGGCUGAGGGAAAAGGAUUUAUUCGCUUCAGGAUGGACUCGCGUCCAAUUAGCUAGUUGGUGAGGUAACGGCCCACCAAGGCGACGAUUGGUAGCCGGACUGAGAGGUUGAACGGCCACAUUGGGACUGAGACACGGCCCAGACUCCUACGGGAGGCAGCAGUGGGGGAUAUUGCACAAUGGGGGAAACCCUGAUGCAGCGACGCCGCGUGGAGGAAGAAGGUUUUCGGAUUGUAAACUCCUGUCGUUAGGGACGAUAAUGACGGUACCUAACAAGAAAGCACCGGCUAACUACGUGCCAGCAGCCGCGGUAAAACGUAGGGUGCAAGCGUUGUCCGGAAUUACUGGGUGUAAAGGGAGCGCAGGCGGACCGGCAAGUUGGAAGUGAAAACUAUGGGCUCAACCCAUAAAUUGCUUUCAAAACUGCUGGCCUUGAGUAGUGCAGAGGUAGUGGAAUUCCCGGUGUAGCGGUGGAAUGCGUCGAUAUCGGGAGGAACAC